rnacentral:lncRNA from 1 species
GGAUCACAAAAGCUCAUAUAUUAACUAUACAAAUUCCUUUACAUUUACAAAAUGGCUCAAAUAAAUUAUUUUCUAGUCGCUUCCCACCCACUGGUCCAGCCUAUUCUUCUAUGACAUCUUCUAAACAUGCUUAUGUUACAUUGUCUGCAUCUAGAAAAACAGAGAAAGCAAGGGUGAGUACGACAAGUCAUACUCAGCAAGUAGGUACUUCACUAUUCAACAAAGAAGAAUAGUAUGGUAGUGUAUCUCAACAGAUGAACUUGAUCCAUAGGAUAAACAAGGUAAUAAUCAUCGGAACAUAUUUUGGUGGAAAUGGACAAAAGAACAUAUAACUAGAUUUAAUGGAAACAACCAGGAAUUUAUUGGCGUCACACAUGACCGCAAGCUUCCCAACCCGGGAGUUACAGAGGUGAAAUUUCACACUUUUACGCUCUUAAGAGGGGUACUCCGACGUCGACAGCCUCGACUAGAAUCACACAGGUUCCAGAAGAGCAGAGCUCUUUAUUCCCCCAAGAACCGACCACUCGACUUACUAGUGUUGAUCGCUCCUACGGAUCCAUCAUCGACACGCUUCCGAACGAGUGCCGUUCUUAGCGGAGAACUCAGACAGUCCCAUACCUGAACUGUGACCGGUACAAUACGUUUGCCGUCGUGACACCAAUAUAGAUGGAUGUGUGUUUAAAUCAAAUAAUAGGAUCACUCAAAUACCAGUCAAAGACAAAACACUCAUGACUUUUCGUGAGUUCCUCCAAAAUACUCGGAUUCCAUCAACAAAUGGAUUAUGAGGACAACACAUCCCUUAACAAAGGAUCAACAAAGAUCAAGGUGCAACAAUAUAAUCAAGUACUCAAGGAAGACAACAAUAAGGCAUGCAGGGAGUUUAGCAAAGCAGCUACUUGCCUUAGAUAACAAGAUUCCUCCUUGGAGAUAAUAUUCUCCUAGCAAAUAAAUCCAUCAAUGUAUAAUCCAAUAGUCGUACAUAUACUAUACUAAUAUUCUCCGGACACACGGCUCAGUUCUUCACUCCAGCAGCACCUAUACGCCCCAUAUAACUCCUCCAUGUCUUGUCUCUCUCUCACUCACACGCUCUCUC